GCUAGUGUAGCAAAGUGGUUAAAUGCACAAGACUCAAGAUCUUGCCUCGUAAGAGUUCAUGGGUUCGAAUCCCAUCGCUAGCA
rnacentral:tRNA from 1 species